AGAAUGGAAGACUUUGCAGGGAGAAAUGGGUAGUUUUACUGCUGGAAAACUUUCAUAUGUGAUGACUCUGGUUUGGACUGCUAUAGCUUGGCAGAUUUGCUCAGUCGGGGUUGUAGGUUUGGUUUUCGUGGUGUCUUCAUUGUUCUCUAAUGUUAUUAGUACGCUUUCCUUGGCGAUCACCCCUAUUGCUGCUGUCGUAGUCCUCCAUGAUAAGAUGAACGGUGUGAAGAUAAUCGCCAUGCUGAUGGCAAUUUGGGGUUUCGGCACUCUCCUUGUUCUCUAAUGUUAUUAGUACACUUUCCUUGGCGAUCACCCCUAUUGCUGCUGUCGUAAUCCUCCAUGACAAGAUGAACGGUGUGAAGAUAAUCGCCAUGCUGUUGGCAAUUUGGGGCUUCGGGACUUACUUAUACCAGAAUUACGUCGAUGAUCUUAAGGCAAGGAAAGCACCAAGCGCCGUUGAUGAUGCUCCAACCGAGUCAAGAUCUUGCUGAAGUCUUAAGCCCAGGCAAGUGCAUAGGCUAUAGUUUUAAGAAUUGUUAAGAGUUUUUGGAACUCAGAGCUAAAAAAAGUUAGAUACUUGUUUGUAGUUAGAAAUUUUGCCCUAUUGGAAUUAUCAUUUACAAAUGCCUGUUUAAUAGAAUGGCAAUUUAGCAACAAACGUCUGAUUUCACAUCAUUAAUAAAAAUUAACAGUUUAGUGGUAGAAGAGGUUUGAUUAACAUUAUUUAGAUGUAAGGUCUUGGAUUCAAAAAUCCCUGUAAAAAUAUUAUAGUAUAUGAUAUUCGUGACAGAAUAUAACAGUAGUAGUGGCAAGGUUUUUGUAUCCAUGCAAACUAUAUAUGAAUCAACCUUACAAUAAUUGUAAAUUUAGACUCUUUAGUCCAUCCAGAGUAAUAAUUGGAGACAACUUUAAUACAUGCACGAUUAUACUAUCCAUGUUCUCUUUGUGAAAAAC
rnacentral:lncRNA from 1 species